GCCACUCUGGCGGAAUUGGCAGACGCGCUAGACUCAAAAUCUAGUGCUCCUAGCGGGCAUCCCGGUUCGACCCCGGGGAGUGGCACCA
rnacentral:tRNA from 1 species